GAACCAUCCUGUUGAUUGAAGCUUGCUUCUUGAUUCAGAUUUUGGUGAGUGGCGGACGGGUGAGUAACACGUGGGUAACCUGCCCAAAAGUGGGGGAUAACAUUUGGAAACAAGUGCUAAUACCGCAUAACAACUGCUUUCACAUGAUCGCAGCUUGAAAGAUGGCUCUGCUAUCGCUUUUGGAUGGACCCGCGGCGUAUUAGCUAGUUGGUGAGGUAAUAGCUCACCAAGGCAAUGAUACGUAGCCGACCUGAGAGGGUAAUCGGCCACAUUGGGACUGAGACACGGCCCAAACUCCUACGGGAGGCAGCAGUAGGGAAUCUUCCACAAUGGGCGAAAGCCUGAUGGAGCAAUGCCGCGUGAGUGAAGAAGGUUUUCGGAUCGUAAAACUCUGUUGUUGAAGAAGAACAUGCGUGAGAGUAACUGUUCACGUACUGACGGUAUUCAACCAGAAAGCCACGGCUAACUACGUGCCAGCAGCCGCGGUAAUACGUAGGUGGCAAGCGUUGUCCGGAUUUAUUGGGCGUAAAGAGAAUGUAGGCGGUUUAUUAAGUUUG
rnacentral:rRNA from 1 species